rnacentral:rRNA from 1 species
UACGGAGGGGGCUAGCGUUGUUCGGAAUUACUGGGCGUAAAGCGCACGUAGGCGGCUUUGUAAGUUAGAGGUGAAAGCCCAGGGCUCAACCCUGGAAUUGCCUUUAAGACUGCAUCGCUAGAAUUGUGGAGAGGUAAGUGGAAUUCCGAGUGUAGAGGUGAAAUUCGUAGAUAUUCGGAAGAACACCAGUGGCGAAGGCGACUUACUGGACACAUAUUGACGCUGAGGUGGCGAAAAGCGUGGGGAGCAAACAGG